GAUGAACGCUAGCGGCAGGCCUAACACAUGCAAGUCGAGGGAGAAGCCCUUUCGGGGGCAGAAACCGGCGCACGGGUGCGUAACGCGUAUGCAACCUACCUUUCACAGGGGGAUAGCCCGAAGAAAUUUGGAUUAAUACUCCAUAAUAUUAUUGGAUGGCAUCAUUUGAUAAUUAAAACUGCGGUGGUGAAAGAUGGGCAUGCGUCCUAUUAGCUAGUUGGAGUGGUAACGGCACCCCAAGGCUACGAUAGGUAGGGGUCCUGAGAGGGAGAUCCCCCACACUGGUACUGAGACAGGGACCAGACUCCUACGGGAGGCAGCAGUGAGGAAGAUUGGUCAAUGGUCGGAAGACUGAACCAGCCAUGCCGCGUGCAGGAAGAAUGCCUUAUGGGUUGUAAACUGCUUUUAUAUGGGAAGAAUAAGGCGUACGUGUACGUUGAUGACGGUACCAUAUGAAUAAGCAUCGGCUAACUCCGUG
rnacentral:rRNA from 1 species